rnacentral:rRNA from 1 species
GAUGAUCUCCAGCUUGCUGGGGGGAUUAGUGGCGAACGGGUGAGUAACACGUGAGUAACCUGCCCUUGACUCUGGGAUAAGCCUGGGAAACCGGGUCUAAUACUGGAUACGACCUUCUGGCGCAUGCCAUGUUGGUGGAAAGCUUUUGUGGUUUUGGAUGGACUCGCGGCCUAUCAGCUUGUUGGUGGGGUAAUGGCCUACCAAGGCGACGACGGGUAGCCGGCCUGAGAGGGUGACCGGCCACACUGGGACUGAGACACGGCCCAGACUCCUACGGGAGGCAGCAGUGGGGAAUAUUGCACAAUGGGCGCAAGCCUGAUGCAGCGACGCCGCGUGAGGGAUGAAGGCCUUCGGGUUGUAAACCUCUUUCAGUAGGGAAGAAGCCGCUCCUUUGGGGGUGGUGACGGUACCUGCAGAAGAAGCGCCGGCUAACUACGUGCCAGCAGCCGCGGUAAUACGUAGGGCGCAAGCGUUAUCCGGAAUUAUUGGGCGUAAAGAGCUCGUAGGCGGUUUGUCGCGUCUGCCGUGAAAGUCCGGGGCUUAACUCCGGAUCUGCGGUGGGUACGGGCAGACUAGAGUGCAGUAGGGGAGACUGGAAUUCCUGGUGUAGCGGUGAAAUGCGCAGAUAUCAGGAGGAACACCGAUGGCGAAGGCAGGUCUCUGGGCUGUAACUGACGCUGAGGAGCGAAAGCAUGGGGAGCGAACAGGAUUAGAUACCCUGGUAGUCCAUGCCGUAAACGUUGGGCACUAGGUGUGGGGGACAUUCCACG